rnacentral:lncRNA from 1 species
GGCCCCUAACCUGUGAGUGUUGCCCCUCCUGUUAAGGGAAAGAACAGAUGCGCGCAAGCCGCUCAAUUCUAUAUGAUCUUGGAAUAAAGGGAUUGAGAACAACUGCUUUGGCGGAGAUUCCUUAUUUCAUUUCAUUUAAUAUGAAAAAGCAGUGCCCAAGAGGGAUGUUGUUGAAUAGACGGAUUCUUGACCUCCGACUUCAGGGGAAGGACAAAGAAGAGCUU